GUGACUGCGUACCUUUUGUAUAAUGGGUCAGCGACUUAUAUUCUGUAGCAAGGUUAACCGAAUAGGGGAGCCGGAGGGAAACCGAGUCUUAACCGGGCGUUAAGUUGCAGGGUAUAGACCCGAAACCCGGUGAUCUAGCCAUGGGCAGGUUGAAGGUUGGGUAACACUAACUGGAGGACCGAACCGACUAAUGUUGAAAAAUUAGCGGAUGACCUGUGGCUGGGGGUGAAAGGCCAAUCAAACCGGGAGAUAGCUGGUUCUCCCCGAAAGCUAUUUAGGUAGCGCCUCGUGAACUCAUCUCCGGGGGUAGAGCACUGUUUCGGCUAGGGGGCCAUCCCGGCUUACCAACCCGAUGCAAACUGCGAAUACCGGAGAAUGUUAUCACGGGAGACACACGGCGGGUGCUAACGUCCGUCGUGAAGAGGGAAACAACCCAGACCGCCAGCUAAGGUCCCAAAGUCAUGGUUAAGUGGGAAACGAUGUGGGAAGGCCCAGACAGCCAGGAUGUUGGCUUAGAAGCAGCCAUCAUUUAAAGAAAGCGUAAUAGCUCACUGGUCGAGUCGGCCUGCGCGGAAGAUGUAACGGGGCUAAACCAUGCACCGAAGCUGCGGCAGCGACACUCAGGUGUUGUUGGGUAGGGGAGCGUUCUGUAAGCCUGCGAAGGUGGCCUGUGAGGGUUGCUGGAGGUAUCAGAAGUGCGAAUGCUGACAUAAGUAACGAUAAAGCGGGUGAAAAGCCCGCUCGCCGGAAGACCAAGGGUUCCUGUCCAACGUUAAUCGGGGCAGGGUGAGUCGACCCCUAAGGCGAGGCCGAAAGGCGUAGUCGAUGGGAAACGGGUUAAUAUUCCCGUACUUGGUGUUACUGCGAAGGGGGGACGGAGAAGGCUAUGUUGGCCGGGCGACGGUUGUCCCGGUUUAAGCGUGUAGGUGUGUGUUCCAGGUAAAUCCGGUUCACUUUAACACUGAGGCGUGAUGACGAGGCACUACGGUGCUGAAGCAACAAAUGCCCUGCUUCCAGGAAAAGCCUCUAAGCAUCAGGUAACAUCAAAUCGUACCCCAAACCGACACAGGUGGUCAGGUAGAGAAUACCAAGGCGCUUGAGAGAACUCGGGUGAAGGAACUAGGCAAAAUGGUGCCGUAACUUCGGGAGAAGGCACGCUGACACGUAGGUGAAGUGAUUUACUCAUGGAGCUGAAGUCAGUCGAAGAUACCAGCUGGCUGCAACUGUUUAUUAAAAACACAGCACUGUGCAAACACGAAAGUGGACGUAUACGGUGUGACGCCUGCCCGGUGCCGGAAGGUUAAUUGAUGGGGUCAGCGCAAGCGAAGCUCCUGAUCGAAGCCCCGGUAAACGGCGGCCGUAACUAUAACGGUCCUAAGGUAGCGAAAUUCCUUGUCGGGUAAGUUCCGACCUGCACGAAUGGCGUAAUGAUGGCCAGGCUGUCUCCACCCGAGACUCAGUGAAAUUGAACUCGCUGUGAAGAUGCAGUGUACCCGCGGCAAGACGGAAAGACCCCGUGAACCUUUACUAUAGCUUGACACUGAACAUUGAGCCUUGAUGUGUAGGAUAGGUGGGAGGCUUUGAAGUGUGGACGCCAGUCUGCAUGGAGCCGGCCUUGAAAUACCACCCUUUAAUGUUUGAUGUUCUAACGUGGACCCGUGAUCCGGGUUGCGGACAGUGUCUGGUGGGUAGUUUGACUGGGGCGGUCUCCUCCUAAAGAGUAACGGAGGAGCACGAAGGUUGGCUAAUCCUGGUCGGACAUCAGGAGGUUAGUGCAAUGGCAUAAGCCAGCUUGACUGCGAGCGUGACGGCGCGAGCAGGUGCGAAAGCAGGUCAUAGUGAUCCGGUGGUUCUGAAUGGAAGGGCCAUCGCUCAACGGAUAAAAGGUACUCCGGGGAUAACAGGCUGAUACCGCCCAAGAGUUCAUAUCGACGGCGGUGUUUGGCACCUCGAUGUCGGCUCAUCACAUCCUGGGGCUGAAGUAGGUCCCAAGGGUAUGGCUGUUCGCCAUUUAAAGUGGUACGCGAGCUGGGUUUAGAACGUCGUGAGACAGUUCGGUCCCUAUCUGCCGUGGGCGCUGGAGAACUGAGGGGGGCUGCUCCUAGUACGAGAGGACCGGAGUGGACGCAUCACUGGUGUUCGGGUUGUCAUGCCAAUGGCACUGCCCGGUAGCUAAAUGCGGAAGAGAUAAGUGCUGAAAGCAUCUAAGCACGAAACUUGCCCCGAGAUGAGUUCUCCCUGAGACUUUAGGUCUCCUGAAGGAACGUUGAAGACGACGACGUUGAUAGGCCGGGUGUGUAAGCGCAGCGAUGCGUUGAGCUAACCGGUACUAAUGAACCGUGAGGCUUAACCUUACAACGCCGAAG
rnacentral:rRNA from 2 species